UGCUGGCUUCAGCAGCACAUAUACUGAAAUUGUAACAAUACAACUGAGAAGAUUAGCAUGGUCCCUACGCAAGGAUGACAUGCAAAUUCUUGACACAUUCCUUAUUUUU